rnacentral:rRNA from 1 species
AUAGCAAUCUAUACGGUGAAACUGCGAAUGGCUCAUUAAAUCAGUUAUCGUUUAUUUGAUAGUACCUUACUACUUGGAUAACCGUGGUAAUUCUAGAGCUAAUACAUGCUAAAAACCCCGACUUCGGAAGGGGUGUAUUUAUUAGAUAAAAAACCAAUGCCCUUCGGGGCUCCUUGGUGAUUCAUAAUAACUUAACGAAUCGCAUGGCCUUGUGCCGGCGAUGGUUCAUUCAAAUUUCUGCCCUAUCAACUUUCGAUGGUAAGGUAGUGGCUUACCAUGGUUUCAACGGGUAACGGGGAAUUAGGGUUCUAUUCCGGAGAGGGAGCCUGAGAAACGGCUACCACAUCCAAGGAAGGCAGCAGGCGCGCAAAUUACCCAAUCCCGACACGGGGAGGUAGUGACAAUAAAUACUGAUACAGGGCUCUUUUGGGUCUUGUAAUUGGAAUGAGUACAAUUUAAAUCCCUUAACGAGGAACAAUUGGAGGGCAAGUCUGGUGCCAGCAGCCGCGGUAAUUCCAGCUCCAAUAGCGUAUAUUAAAGUUGUUGCAGUUAAAAAGCUCGUAGUUGAACCUUGGGCCUGGCUGGCCGGUCCGCCUCACCGCGUGCACUGGUCCGGCCGGGCCUUUCCUUCUGGGGAGCCGCAUGCCCUUUACUGGGUGUGUCGGGGAACCAGGACUUUUACUUUGAAAAAAUUAGAGUGUUCAAAGCAGGCCUAUGCUCGAAUACAUUAGCAUGGAAUAAUAGAAUAGGACGUGUGGUUCUAUUUUGUUGGUUUCUAGGACCGCCGUAAUGAUUAAUAGGGAUAGUCGGGGGCAUCAGUAUUCAAUUGUCAGAGGUGAAAUUCUUGGAUUUAUUGAAGACUAACUACUGCGAAAGCAUUUGCCAAGGAUGUUUUCAUUAAUCAGUGAACGAAAGUUAGGGGAUCGAAGACGAUCAGAUACCGUCGUAGUCUUAACCAUAAACUAUGCCGACUAGGGAUCGG